rnacentral:rRNA from 1 species
GAUGAACGCUGGCGGCGUGCCUAAUACAUGCAAGUCGAGCGAACAGACGAGGAGCUUGCUCCUCUGACGUUAGCGGCGGACGGGUGAGUAACACGUGGAUAACCUACCUAUAAGACUGGGAUAACUUCGGGAAACCGGAGCUAAUACCGGAUAAUAUAUUGAACCGCAUGGUUCAAUAGUGAAAGACGGUUUUGCUGUCACUUAUAGAUGGAUCCGCGCCGCAUUAGCUAGUUGGUAAGGUAACGGCUUACCAAGGCAACGAUGCGUAGCCGACCUGAGAGGGUGAUCGGCCACACUGGAACUUAGACACGGUCCAGACUCCUACGGGAGGCAGCAGUAUGGAAUCUUCCGCAAUGGGCGAAAGCAUGACGGAGCAACGCCGCGUGAGUGAUGACGGUCUUCGGAUCGUAAAGCUCUGUUAUUAGGGAAGAACAAAUGUGUAAGUAACUAUGCACGUCUUGACGGUACCUAAUCAGAAAGCCACGGCUAACUACGUG